GAAAUGCGAUAAGUAGUGUGAAUUGCAGAAUUCAGUGAAUCAUCGAAUCUUUGAACGCACAUUGCUCCCUUUGGUAUUCCAAAGGGCAUGCCUGUUCGAGCGUCAUUUGUACCCUCAAGCUUUGCUUGGUGUUGGGCGUCUUGUCUCUAGCUUUGCUGGAGACUCGCCUUAAAGUAAUUGGCAGCCGGCCUACUGGUUUCGGAGCGCAGCACAAGUCGCACUCUCUAUCAGCAAAGGUCUAGCAUCCAUUAAGCCUUUUUUUCAACUUUUGACCUCGGAUCAGGUAGGGAUACCCGCUGAACUUAAGC
rnacentral:misc_RNA from 1 species